GACGAACGCUGGCGGCGUGCCUAAUACAUGCGAGUUGAGCGCUGAAGGUUGGUACUUGUACCAACUGGAUGAGCAGCGAACGGGUGAGUAACGCGUGGGGAAUCUGCCUUUGAGCGGGGGACAACACUUGGAAACGAAUGCUAAUACCGCAUAAAAACUUUAAACACAAGUUUUAAGUUUGAAAGAUGCAAUUGCAUCACUCAAAGAUGAUCCCGCGUUGUAUUAGCUAGUUGGUGAGGUAAAGGCUCACCAAGGCGAUGAUACAUAGCCGACCUGAGAGGGUGAUCGGCCACAUUGGGACUGAGACACGGCCCAAACUCCUACGGGAGGCAGCAGUAGGGAAUCUUCGGCAAUGGACGAAAGUCUGACCGAGCAACGCCGCGUGAGUGAAGAAGGGUUUCGGAUCGUAAAACUCUGUUGGUAGAGAAGAACGUUGGUGAGAGUGGAAAGCUCAUCAAGUGACGGUAACUACACAGAAAGGGACGGCUAACUACGUG
rnacentral:rRNA from 1 species